rnacentral:rRNA from 1 species
AUUGAACGCUGGCGGCAGGCUUAACACAUGCAAGUCGAGCGGAGUGAUGGUGCUUGCACUAUCACUUAGCGGCGGACGGGUGAGUAAUGCUUAGGAAUCUGCCUAUUAGUGGGGGACAACAUCUCGAAAGGGAUGCUAAUACCGCAUACGCCCUACGGGAGAAAGCAGGGGAUCACUUGUGACCUUGCGCUAAUAGAUGAGCCUAAGUCGAAUAGCUAGUUGGUGGGGUAAAGGCCUACCAAGGCGACGAUCUGUAGCGGGUCUGAGAGGAUGAUCCGCCACACUGGGACUGAGACACGGCCCAGACUCCUACGGGAGGCAGCAGUGGGGAAUAUUGGACAAUGGGGGGAACCCUGAUCCAGCCAUGCCGCGUGUGCGAAGAAGGCCUUAUGGUUGUAAAGCACUUUAAGCGAGGAGGAGGCUCUUUUGGUUAAUACCCAAGAUGAGUGGACGUUACUCGCAGAAUAAGCACCGGCUAACUCUGUGCCAGCCGCCGCGGUAA